rnacentral:rRNA from 1 species
AACAGGAUUAGAUACCCUGGUAGUCCACGCUGUAAACGAUGUCGACUUGGAGGUUGUUCCCUUGAGGAGUGGCUUCCGGAGCUAACGCGUUAAGUCGACCGCCUGGGGAGUACGGCCGCAAGGUUAAAACUCAAAUGAAUUGACGGGGGCCCGCACAAGCGGUGGAGCAUGUGGUUUAAUUCGAUGCAACGCGAAGAACCUUACCUACUCUCGACAUCCAGAGAACUUAGCAGAGAUGCUUUGGUGCCUUCGGGAACUCUGAGACAGGUGCUGCAUGGCUGUCGUCAGCUCGUGUUGUGAAAUGUUGGGUUAAGUCCCGCAACGAGCGCAACCCUUAUCCUUUGUUGUCAGCGGUUCGGCCGGGAACUCAAAGGAGACUGCCAGUGAUAAACUGGAGGAAGGUGGGGAUGACGUCAAGUCAUCAUGGCCCUUACGAGUAGGGCUACACACGUGCUACAAUGGCAUAUACAAAGAGAAGCGACCUCGCGAGAGCAAGCGGGCCUCAUAAAGUAUGUCGUAGUCCGGAUUGGAGUCUGCAACUCGACUCCAUGAAGUCGGAAUCGCUAGUAAUCGUGGAUCAGAAUGCCACGGUGAAUACGUUCCCGGGCCUUGUACACACCGCCCGACACACCAUGGGAGUGGGUUGCAAAAGAAGUAGGUAGCUUAACCUUCGGGAGGGCGCUUGCCACUUUGUGAUUCAUGACUGGGGUGAAGUCGUAACAAGGUAACC